GAGACCUGAGGACCUGGUAUGGGGGUGCGUUGUUCACACUGGGCUCGGGGGCCACCGCCCCUGCACCCACACCCAGGGAGGCACCAUGCACAACUCCGAAGGCCUUUUACGGACCCCAACCAGAAUUCCCGCUCUGGGUCAGUUCUGCAUUGGUGACACGCAGGCAGAAGUCAUUAUCCCUGCAUGUGUAGCUGGUUACACCUAGGCUGCUGUAUCCGAUUCUUCUGUGUGCCCACCUGGACUCCGGGCCCCUGAAGGACAGGGCUGGGGUCUCUCACCUCCGUGCCACACCACCCUGCAUUGCACGGCGCACUGGGGACGGGCCGCAGGGCUGAACGGACUGCCUGGUGUAAGGGCUGACAGGAGAGCUGACAAGCCCCAGCCCCUACGUGACCCACAGACCACAGACAGGCCCCUACCUGCACAGCGAUCACGGACAAGACCUCCACCGAGAUUCGGUUGAAUUCAUCGAAGCAGCCCCACGCUCCAGUCUGAGCCAGGCCCUUGUAGAUGUUCCCACAGGACUAGGAAAAGGAUGCACCCCGGAGUACGCGGGGUCAGGCUGUGCUGGAAAUUCUCUGUGGAAGCUGUUGGAGCCCUUGCUGGAUCGAGGGACAGUCUGGGGCGGGGUGGCCGGGGGGCGGUCCCUCCGCCCUGGAUGUGCCCCCGGCACUCACCUGCCCUGAG